rnacentral:rRNA from 1 species
UGGGGAAUAUUGGACAAUGGAGGAAACUCUGAUCCAGCAAUUCUGUGUGUGUGAAGAAGGUUUUAGGACUGUAAAACACUUUUAGUAGGGAAGAAAAAAAUGACGGUACCUACAGAAGAAGCAACGGCUAAAUACGUGCCAGCAGCCGCGGUAAUACGUAUGUUGCGAGCGUUAUCCGGAAUUAUUGGGCUUAAAGGGCAUCUAGGCGGUAAGACAAGUUGAAGGUGAAAACCUGAGGCUCAACCAUAGGCUUGCCUACAAAACUGUUGAACUAGAGUACUGGAAAGGUGGGUGGAACUACACGAGUAGAGGUGAAAUUCGUAGAUAUGUGUAGGAAUGCCGAUGAUGAAGAUAACUCACUGGACAGAAACUGACGCUGAAGUGCGAAAGCUAGGGGAGCAAACAGG